rnacentral:rRNA from 11 species
UUUUAUGUUUUGAGGAUACCUUAACGGCACCAGAUACAGUCUAAUCUUGAAAGUUAAGCAGGGUUACUUCUGGUUAGUAUCUGGAUGGAAGACCACCAAGGAAUCUGAGGUACUGUAGGGC